ACACAUGUACAUCUAGUAUCUUUUUUAUUUUCAACCAUAAGGUAAUAGCUUCAAAUCCUAGCCCAGCGCUUGUUUUGUUUUUUUGCAUUUCACCUACAUUUGCCUC